CUGACAGUGCGGACGGGUGAGUAAUGUCUGGGAAACUGCCUGAUGGAGGGGGAUAACUACUGGAAACGGUGGCUAAUACCGCAUAACGUCGCAAGACCAAAGAGGGGGACCUUCGGGCCUCUUGCCAUCAGAUGUGCCCAGAUGGGAUUAGCUUGUUGGUGAGGUAACGGCUCACCAAGGCGACGAUCCCUAGCUGGUCUGAGAGGAUGACCAGCCACACUGGAACUGAGACACGGUCCAGACUCCUACGGGAGGCAGCAGUGGGGAAUAUUGCACAAUGGGCGCAAGCCUGAUGCAGCCAUGCCGCGUGUAUGAAGAAGGCCUUCGGGUUGUAAAGUACUUUCAGCGGGGAGGAAGGUGUUGUGGUUAAUAACCGCAGCAAUUGACGUUACCCGCAGAAGAAGCACCGGCUAACUCCGUGCCAGCAGCCGCGGUAAUACGGAGGGUGCAAGCGUUAAUCGGAAUUACUGGGCGUAAAGCGCACGCAGGCGGUCUGUCAAGUCGGAUGUGAAAUCCCCGGGCUCAACCUGGGAACUGCAUUCGAAACUGGCAG
rnacentral:rRNA from 1 species